rnacentral:ncRNA from 1 species
GUCUUCCCGGCGACCGAAGCCCCGGUGAACGGCGGCUGUAACUAUAACGGUCCUAAGGUAGCGAAAUUCCUUGUCGGGUAAGUUCCGACCCGCACGAAAGGC